UACGGAGGAGGCAAGCGUUAUCCGGAAUUAUUGGGCGUAAAGAGUCCGUAGGUGGCGAUUCAAGUCUGCUGUCAAAGCGUGGAGCUCAACUCCAUCACGGCAGUGGAAACUGAAUGGCUAGAGUCUGGUAGGGGUAGCGGGAAUUCCCAGUGUAGAGGUGAAAUGCGUAGAGAUUGGGAAGAACAUCGGUGGCGAAAGCGCGCAACUGGGCAGGAACUGACACUGAGGGAAGAAAGCUAGGGGAGCGAAAGGG
rnacentral:rRNA from 1 species